rnacentral:sRNA from 1 species
GCCUAGCCCCGAUAGAAGUGGAAAUCCUUUUAUGCCGGGGUUCGGCACAAAAGAUUGAAACGGAUAGCGGGACUGAAC